GCCAGCUUAGCUCAGUGGUAGAGCAAUGCUUUCGUAAAGCAUAGGUCUGGGGUUCAAAUCCCCAAGCUGGCU
rnacentral:tRNA from 2 species